UGGGGAAUAUUGCGCAAUGGGCGCAAGCCUGAUCCAGCCAUGCCGCGUGAGUGACGAAGGCCUUAGGGUUGUAAAGCUCUUUUUGGCGGGGACGAUAAUGACGGUACCCGCAGAAUAAGCCCCGGCUAACUUCGUGCCAGCAGCCGCGGUAAUACGAAGGGGGCUAGCGUUGUUCGGAAUUACUGGGCGUAAAGCGCACGUAGGCGGAUGUGCCAGUCAGGGGUGAAAUCCCGAGGCUCAACCUCGGAACUGCCUCCGAUACAGCACGUCUCGAGUCCGGAAGAGGUGAGUGGAAUUCCUAGUGUAGAGGUGAAAUUCGUAGAUAUUAGGAAGAACACCAGUGGCGAAGGCGACUGACUGGACAAGUAUUGACGCUGAGGUACGAAAGCGUGGGGAGCAAACAGGAUUAGAUACCCGCGUAGUCCCUGAGCGGGCUGGCAAGGCGCAU
rnacentral:rRNA from 1 species